AAAACUCUAAGCGGUGGAUCACUCGGCUCAUGGGUCGAUGAAGAACGCAGCAAACUGUGCGUCAUCGUGUGAACUGCAGGACACAUGAACAUUGACAUUUUGAACGCAUAUCGCAGUCCAUGCUGUUAUGUACUUUAAUUAAUUUUAUAGAGCUGCUUGGACUACAUAUGGUUGAGGGUUGUAAGACUAUGCUAAUAAAUUUGUUUAUAAAUUUUAUAAGCAUCUGGUAUAUUAUUGGAUAAAAUAAUAAUUUUGUUAUUCAUAAUAUUAAAAAAUAUAUAUGAAAAACAUUAUCUCACAUUUGGAUGUGAAAAACGAAGAGAAAUAUUUUCUUUUUCGAUCAAGUAAUACUGAGAAAUGUCUAGCAUAAAAAAUUGAAUUAUUUUUCAUCUAGAAUUGUCUCUUAUUAAUGAUUCGGAAAUAUAAAAAACUUGGUUAUGUUUUAUUCUUCGUUGGUUCGUUUAAUGGAAAACACUUUGCUACAAGAAAUAAUGGAAAUUUUAUAACGACUUCAAUAAAAUGUUUUCAUCAUUAUAUAUAAAGAAUUAAUGGCAAGAAAAAGUUAUAUACAACCUCAACGCAUAUGGGACUACCCCCUGAAUUUAAGCAUAUUAAUUAGGGGAGGAAAGAAACUAACAAGGAUUUCCUUAGUAGCGGCGAGCGAAAAAAAAAAACAGUUCAGCACUAAGUCACUUUGUCUAUAUGGCAAAUGUGAGAUGCAGUGAAUUCUAGUAUGAGAAAUUAACGAUUUAAGUCCUUCUUAAAUGAGGCCAUUUACCCAUAGAGGGUGCCAGGCCCGUAUAACGUUAAUGAUUACUAGAUGAUGUUUCCAAAGAGUUGUGUUGCUUGAUAGUGCAGAACUAAGUGGGUGGUAAACUCCGAUAGUAAAUAAGUACCGUGAGGGAAAGUUAAAAAGAACUCUGAAUAGAGAGUUAAACAGUACGUGAAACUGCUUAGAGGUUAAGCGCGUUGAACCUGAAUAUCCGUUAUGGAAAAUUCAUCAUUAAAAUUGUAAUAUUUAAAUAAUAUUAUGAGGAUAGUGUGCAUUUUUUCCAUAUAAGGACAUUGUAAUCUAUUAGCAUAUACCAAAUUUAUCAUCCAAUUAAAUUGCUUGCAUUUUAACACAGAAUAAAUGUUAUUAAUUUGAUAAAGUGCUUAAAGAUUAAUAUGAGUACAGUGCGUAAAUUUUUCGGAAUUAUAUAAUGGCAUAAUUAUCAUUAAUUUUUGUGUUUAUUAUAUGCACUUGUAUGAUUAACAAGUCGAAAGAUUCAGGAUACCUUCGGGACCCGUCUUGAAACACGGACCAAGGAGUCUAACAUAUGUGCAAGUUAUUGGGAAAUAAACCUAAUAGCGUAAUUAACUUGACUAAUAAUGGGAUUAGCUUUUUAACUAUUUAUAGCUAAUUAACACAAUCCCGGGGCGUUCUAUAUAGUUAUGUAUAAUGUAUAUUUAUAUUAUUUAUUCCUCUAACUGGAACGUACCUUGAGCAUAUAUGCUGUGACCCGAAAGAUGGUGAACUAUAUUUGAUCAGGUUGAAGUCAGGGGAAACCCUGAUGGAAGACCGAAACAGUUCUGACGUGCAAAUCGAUUGUCAGAAUUGAGUAUAGGGGCGAAAGACCAAUCGAACCAUCUAGUAGCUGGUUCCUUCCGAAGUUUCCCUCAGGAUAGCUGGUGCAUUUUAAUAUUAUAUAAAAUAAUCUUAUCUGGUACACCGAAUGAUUAGAGGCCUUAGGGUCGAAACGAUCUUAACCUAUUCUCAAACUUUAAAUGGGUAAGAACCUUAACUUUCUUGAUAUGAAGUUCAAGGUUAUGAUAUAAUGUGCCAAGUGGGCCACUUUUGGUAAGCAGAACUGGCGCUGUGGGAUGAACCAAACGUAAUGUUACGGUACCCAAAUUAACAACUCAUGCAGAUACCAUGAAAGGCGUUGGUUGCUUAAAACAGCAGGACGGUGAUCAUGGAAGGCGAAAUCCGCUAAGCAGUAUGUAACAACUCACCUGCCAAAGCAACUAGCCCUUAAAAUGGAUGGCGCUUAAGUAAAGUAAGAUGUAAGUUAAGUAGAUGAUUUAUAUUACUUGUGAUAUAAAUUUUGAAACUUUAGUGAGUAGGAAGCUACAAUGGUAUGCGUAGAAGUUUUUGGCGAUCUUGGUGGUAGUAGCAAAUAAUCGGCUGAGACCUUUGAGGACUGAAGUGGAGAAGGGUUUCGUGUGAACAGUGGUUGAUCACGAGUUAGUCGGUCCUAAGUUCAAGGCGAAACCCGAAAAUUUUAAGUAAAACAAAAAUGCUAAGUUAUAUAAACAAAGCGAAAAUAAUACACUUGAAUAAUUUUUAACGAAAGGAAAUACGGUUCCAAUUCCGUAACCUGGUUAGUAUCCGUUUGUUAUUAAAUAUGGGCCAUAUGGCAACAGGAACGACCAUAAAGAAGCCGUCGAGAGAUAUCGGAAGAGUUUUCUUUUCUGUUUUAUAGCCGUACUACCAUGAAAGUCUUUCGCAGAGAGAUAUGGUAGAUGGGCUAGAAGAGCAUGACAUAUACUGUUGUGUCGAUAUUUUCUCCUCGCACCUUGAAAAUUUAUGGUGGGGACACGCAAACUUCUCAACAGGCCGUACCAAUAUCCGCAGCUGGUCUCCAAGGUGAAGAGUCUCUAGUCGAUAGAAUUAUGUAGGUAAGGGAAGUCGACAAAUUAGAUCCGUAACUUCGGGAUAAGGAUUGGCUCUGAAGAUUGAGAUAGUCGGGCUUGAUUGGGAAACAAUAACAUGGUUUAUGUGCUCGUUCUGGGUAAAUAGAGUUUCUAGCAUUUAUGUUAGUUACUUGUUCCCCGGAUAGUUUAGUUACGUAGCCAAUUGUGGAACUUUCUUGCUAAAAUUUUUAAGAAUACUAUUUAAGUUAAACCAAUUAGUUCUUAUUAAUUAUAACGAUUAUAAAUUAACAAUCAAUUCAGAACUGGCACGGACUUGGGGAAUUGGACUGUCUAAUUAAAACAAAGAUGGCCCUAGCGGGUGUUGACACAAUGUGAUUUCUGCCCAGUGCUCUGAAUGUCAAAGUGAAAAAAUUCAAGUAAGCGCUGGUCAACGGCGGGAGUAACUAUGACUCUCUUAAGGUAGCCAAAUGCCUCGUCGUCUAAUUAGUGACGCGCUUGAAUGGAUUAACGAGAUUCCUACCGUCCCUAUCUACUUACUGUCAGUGACGGACGUGUUUUCUACGAGCUCCCAUUAAUACGGUCGUUUUUUGAGUAAAUCCGCGGAUUUAUACUUUGAAAAACGGAUUAAAGUGUGUGUGAAGGUGUCGCGAACAUAAGUUGAAAAAUUUGUGAGCGAAAGUACAUCGCGUGUCGCGGAAAUCAACAAUUUUCAAUCGAAAAUUUCCGAGAAAUUUCUGGAAUUUCUCUGCGAAAGAGGCGUUAGCCCUUUUCGUGUGGGAUUUUCUCAGCACCAGCUGAUCGGUUCCGAACUUUGCUAUUGGAACAUUAUGUAUGUAUGUAUGAAUUGGAACAUUUUAGUGCUGCCAUACCGAGCAAUUGGUGGCGCCACUGUUAAUAGGUGGAGCCAGUGCGUCAUAGCAACCAGCCUCUGUCAGCAAGCCAAAGUUGCUGGACUCGACAAAAGGAGGAGCUACUUUUAUCGGGUAAGUCCGAUGGAGAGCGACAGCAGUGCGAGCGCCAUGAGCGCCAGCAGUGCGUCGAAGAAGUCUACGCGUCGCAGGCAUAGAAGCCUACUGACUUCGAAGAGCUCGGCGCCAACGCAGGCGAAGCUGGUUGCCGUGGCGGCGAAUGGGGUUCCCAUUGUUCAGCUUACUGCCAAUUAGAUGUACCUUUGGAACCUUACCUUCGGUACAUGGAUGCGAUCCUGCUACAGGCUAUCAGAACCCCUGCAAUACUGGGCCUUGACGCGAAUGUAGUGUCCCCCAUGUGGUUUGCCAAACUCUCUCGGCAUGUCGAGGGGCAAGCUAACUACAGUCGGGGUGAGCUGC
rnacentral:rRNA from 1 species